rnacentral:rRNA from 1 species
UACGGAGGGUGCGAGCGUUGUCCGGAAUCACUGGGCGUAAAGGGCGCGUAGGCGGCGCGGGAAGUCAUCGGUGAAAGUUCAGGGCUCAACUCUGAAUCGGCCGGUGAUACUCUCGUGCUUGAUCACUGUAGAGGCAGGUGGAAUUCCGGGUGUAGCGGUGGAAUGCGUAGAGAUCCGGAAGAACACCGGUGGCGAAGGCGGCCUGCUGGGCAGUAGCUGACGCUGAUGCGCGACAGCGUGGGGAGCAAACAGG